GAUGAACGCUGGCGGCGUGCCUAAUACAUGCAAGUCGAGCGAACAGACGAGGAGCUUGCUUCUCUGACGUUAACGGCGGACGGGUGAGUAACACGUGGAUAACCUACCUAUCAGACUGGGAUAACUUCGGGAAACCGGAGCUAAUACCGGAUAAUAUCUUGAACCGCAUGGUUCAAUAGUGAAAGACGGUUUUGCUGUCACUUAUAGAUGGAUCCGCGCCGCAUUAGCUAGUUGGUAAGGUAACGGCUUACCAAGGCAACGAUGCGUAGCCGACCUGAGAGGGUGAUCGGCCACACUGGAACUGAGACACGGUCCAGACUCCUACGGGAGGCAGCAGUAGGGAAUCUUCCGCAAUGGGCGAAAGCCUGACGGAGCAACGCCGCGUGAGGGAUGAAGGUCUUCGGAUCGUAAAACUCUGUUAUUAGGGAAGAACAAAUGUGUAAGUAACUAUGCACGUCUUGACGGUACCUUAUCAGAAAGCCACGGCUAACUACGUG
rnacentral:rRNA from 1 species